rnacentral:misc_RNA from 1 species
GAUGAAGAACGUAGCGAAAUGCGAUAAUUAAUGUGAAUUGCAGAAUUCCGUGAAUCAUCGAGUCUUUGAACGCACAUUGCGCCUCAUGGCAUUCCGUGAGGCAUGCCCAUCUCAGCGUUAGAAAAUAUUCUCAAAUUUUAGUUUUGUGCUAAAAUUUGGAUCAUGUCAAGGAAGCUAUUACUAUUAUUGUGAUCGCUCUUUGGAAAUUGAUAGGUCUUUGAGUUGCUACUCAUAGAACGUGAUGAAUCUUUCUUCGUUCUAUUGUAAUUCACUCUGGUAGUCCUAAAACUUGUAUGCCUGUGGCAUAUCUUGUAAUUUGACCUGAGAUUGGGUAGGGAUACCCGCUGAACUUAAGCAUACAAUAAGCGGAGGA